rnacentral:lncRNA from 1 species
CCUGGCAGCAGCUUUCUUUUCUUCUCUUUGCUAGAAAUUUCCUUUCUUUCCUUUCUACUCACAGAGGGAAAUGGAAGCCCGCUAGCAGAACACAUCUUUCCACAGGACUCUGACACAGGAGUCUGCGUUUCCUGGUUUACACGACCGUCCUUGAGGAGAGGAAUUUUUCAUCGCACUCCGGAGACAAAGGAGCCUCGGGGAUAAUCAGUCAAGAUCCUAAACAUGGCGGCAGGCAGUCUUCUUUGGAACUCACACUUCCAUUUCCCACAACUGCCCACAGGGGUGCCUUCCUUCCAGCACUGCGGCUUAUAUUAUCUCAAUCUCCACUGGUUUCUGAAAACUGCUUGGAAAGGAAAGAUCCAAAUGAUCCACCCCCUUCAAAUCUCACUGCCUCACAAAUACAUCCUUCUCCUCACCCCAGCCCGUGUGGGGUUAAAGGAAAAUCGAUUGGAAAUCUCCAUCGGGACCUACAGGAGAACACUACUGCCCAGGUUCGCUGGCUGUCUGGGCUUCCGUGACAUCUCUCCUUUUGUCUCCAGUAGGAAACUAUCCAUGCACCUUCUUCCUGCCCCGCAGUCCUGUUGUCCUCUGGAUAUCGUCUGAGUGUCUUUGGGUCUCGCAGGGCUCAGAGCAAGGGAGCUGGACACACCUCAUCUCUCUACCUAGCUCCAAGGUUUCCACUGAGAACCAAAUGAACUAUUGUAUCCAAAAUGCUUGGUAAAGCAAGGCAAGCCCAUAUAUGUGUGAUUAAAGUACUAGUCUUUUUUUUUUUUUUUUUAAAGAAGUACUAGUCUUAAAAAAGUCUCACUACAGAGCUCCUUUUCUUGCCUCUGCAUGUCUCUAUCUCAUGUGUGUAUAUUUAACCUCAUCAGCCCAAGAGUGCAUCUGGCCAAGCAUAGUUGCAAAGUUUCGGAUGCUUUAUUUUUUAAACAGUUCUUUCUGUGUCACCAUGGAAGUGUUAUAGGGUUCAGAUUCCAAUUAGUACGACUGAUGGUCAACUCUUCAUUAUCAAUGGACUUUAGGAGCAACCUGCAUUGAGAAGAACAGGAGCUGGAGAAAGUGCUUUUAUAAUGAGCAGUGUUUUUCAUCUACCUUAGCAUCCUCAGAGCAAAUUGAAUUCGGUAAUCCCCAAAAGGCCUAAAGAUGAACUAUCUUAUUUUUUAAGACAAAGAUGAACUCAGUGUCAGGGCUGUGCAAGAAUAUUAUUGCUGUUUCUUUUAUUAUCAUAUAUAGUACCUUUCUGUUGAAAAGCCAAAAGGCAUUUUACAAAAUCUGACAGUGAUCCUCAUGAUGUCCCUCUGGGCUCAAUAGGCUUCAUUACAAACAAUAAAUAAUAACUGCC